GUUGUUAAUGACACUUGUUGAAAAGAAAAGGGCAGGAAAGUGAGUGGGGGCUGUGCCAGGCAGCUCCCCGCAUCCCCAGGACCCGCGGGGUGGGAAGGGGUGUCAGAGCUGGGGUACAGCUGGACCCCCAGGCUCUCCUGCCGUGGGGAGGUGGACUUAGGGGACACCCAGGUCCUGUUCAGCCACGUUCCCCGAGUGCCACAGCCACGCUGGAGAAGUCUUUCCUUCCUCCUGGGCUGAUGCAAAUGUUUCGUGGCCAAGUCCCCUUCCCCGCCCUGAGGGGACUGUCAGGUUCAAGUCACCCUGCCCCAAAUUCCCCACCAGCCUCCUCCGCGGAAGCCAGAGAGAGGCACCUCCUUCCACCCCUUCCCGCAACAGGAUUUGAAUAACCAGGUGUGAGAGCAUCAGCCUCCCUCGUUAAUGUGUUUGAUAAUUGACCAGGCGCUCAUUCCUGUGGGAGGGCGGCGUGCCCAAGAGCAGCGCCCGACUGCUCCUCCGCGCCCCGAGAGAGCCGGUGGCCCUGCCUGCUGCCAUGUCUGCCCGCUGCCACCUCCUCCUCCUCCUCCUGGGGCUGCUCCUGCUGCUGGAGCCUGCCUGCUGCCAGGAAGCUCGGGGCCCCCUCCAGCCGUGGUCGCAGGGUGUCAUUGCAGUGGUUGUGUUUCUAGUCCUGGUGGCUAUCGUUUUUGUGGUCAACAGGUUCUGGUGUAAGAAGAAAGUGGAAAACGUCGAGACGGUGGUGAGCGUCGAGGACAAGCAGGAGGCUGUCACGUCCAAUGGCCAUGAUGGGAAAUACAUAAAUGUUGCAGCUGACUUCAGGUCCAAAGAGAGCAACCAUGCCUACGAGAACACCGUGGAGCCAGAGGAGAAGGUGGUCACCACUGCCAUGUAGCAGGCACUCCGGCCAUCCUCCCUCCUUCCUCCUCUCACUUUGCUUCCCACUGUUGCGACGGGCAUUUUCACAGGGACCCUCUGCACCAACAUCUCCUGUGUGUGGUGAGUCCCUGACCUCUCCAAGGCACCACCACCUCCUGAUCUUUUCCCUUCCCACCUGCGGGAUAUGUUCUUCUGCCUCAGGGGUCAAUGUCCAUGUGGGCAUCAGUCCCCAGGAGAGGUCUGGAGGUGCCACUUCUGCUCAGAGGUCACCCCAUCUGGUUGGUGAAGUUGAUGUCCCCAGUCCUGGCGGGAUGCUGACCUGCUCCAGACAUGGAGGGGUUCCCACUGGGUGCCUAGGAUGUCCCCACAUCCCCAGCCACCCUUUGGGCAGCUGCUGUUGGAAAACCCGCUCUUCUCCCCAUUUCACCCUCCGUUUUAUGACCUAUACCAUGCAUUUUAAUGUCAGAACAAACUUUCUCCCCUGUAUAUAUCUUCCCUGUGAGCAAUAAAGAGAAUUGUUGCCCAUACCACAGCAAAGAGGGUCAUUUUGCUAAUCACCCACAGGACUUUCUGUCCUCUUGAAGUGCUCCCAGCCUUCGGGCAUUUGGGCAGGGAGGGACAUCGGGGAGGGCGGUGCUGGGGUGGGAAGGGUGCUUAGACAGAGGUGAGCACCCUCAUCUCCCCUGUGAUCCCUCCUGGGUAGGAUCCAUCUCUUCUUUCCUCACUCGGGUGAAGCCAAGAGCACUUUUGCGUGUUUCUCUGCGUCAACAGGGGAGAGAGAAGGUGGAGCAUAUUUUUUUGGUCAGCAGUUGCACCUCCCCAGAGCCGUGGGGGGCUGGAUGGGGAGGCGAGCAUCAUUCCCCUCCAUUUGCCAGAUGGGGAAACUGAGGCACGACACCAACCCAGAACUUCCCAGAGCUGCUUGACGGGUGAAAGGCAGCGCUCCCUGAGCCAGGGAGCUGAGACCCAUAGCCACCCGGGGAGCAUUCCCAGGGCUGGAGGCUGUGAAUGGCAAUCACUUACUGGUGUUGCUGGGAUGGUGUUAGGGGGUAGGCAGUGACCCCAGGGCAGCUGGCCACAGUACAACCUGCUCCUGCCGGGCUGUUCAUUAACCAGGGUCUGUUUUCUGCUGUGGUGGGGACAGCGCUGGGGCCACCGUGGGAGCAGGGAGCACUCUCGAGCUGUGACGUUUGCAGAUUGAAACCGGUUACCUGUAACGGCCUUGGUCUUCCCUGGGACAUCAGUUACCCAAGUGGCAUGCAGGGUCCUCCUCUUGACCAGUGAGGAAAGGGUUAAAGGGUUCUGCAGUCAAGGGCAGCCCUGGGGGGGCUACAGGUGGAGCAGGACUGGGAUGGGAUUGGAUGGGGGGUUUAGAAGAGGAACAUUUUUGGCAGCCCCUGAGUUUGGGGGGAGCAGGGUGGUUUGGGGGCUCUGCUGUGCUUGGGGCUGUGCAAACACGAAGUGGGGAAGGAGGUGGCAGGAGGACACCAGGUACCUCAGCCACUCCUU
rnacentral:lncRNA from 1 species